rnacentral:rRNA from 1 species
AACGAACGCUGGCGGCAUGCCUAACACAUGCAAGUCGAACGAACCCUUCGGGGUUAGUGGCGCACGGGUGCGUAACACGCGGGAAUCUGCCCUUUGCUUCGGAAUAACAGUUAGAAAUGACUGCUAAUACCGGAUGAUGUCGUAAGACCAAAGAUUUAUCGGCAAAGGAUGAGCCCGCGUAGGAUUAGGUAGUUGAUGGGGUAAAGGCCUACCAAGCCGACGAUCCUUAGCUGGUCUGAGAGGAUGAUCAGCCACACUGGGACUGAGACACGGCCCAGACUCCUACGGGAGGCAGCAGUGGGGAAUAUUGGACAAUGGGCGAAAGCCUGAUCCAGCAAUGCCGCGUGAGUGAUGAAGGCCUCGGUUGUAAAGACUCCUUUACCUACGGGAUGAUAAUGUAACAGUACCUGGAGAA